AUGAAUGACCGCAAUUCUGUCACUUGGGGUGCUAUGAUUGGAGGCUAUGGUAUGCAGGGCGAUUCUGCUGGCUCGAUUGACCUUUUUAAUGAAAUGCUGAAGGACAAUAUCCAACCAAAUGAAGUAGUCUUCACAAGUGUCCUUUCCACUUGCAGCCACACUGGAAUGGUUACUGUAGGAAAGAAGUGUUUCGAGAGCAUGGCAAAGUAUUUCAACAUCACUCCUUCUAUGAAGCAUUAUGCAUGUAUGGUUGAUGUGCUGGCCCGUGCCGGAAAUCUGGAGGAGGCAUUGGAGUUCAUACAGAAGAUGCCAAUGCAAGCAGACAUUAGUGUCUGGGGAGCUUUUCUCCAUGGGUGCAAGCUCCAUUCCAGGUUAGAGUUUGGAGAAGAAGCUAUCAAUAGGAUGAUGGUUCUUCAUCCUGACACGCCAGAUUUUUAUGUGCUCAUGUCCAACUUGUAUACCUCAUACGGGAGGUGGGACAAGUCAAUUGCUAUCAGGAGAUCGAUGCAGGAAAGAGGACUAGUCAAGCUACCCGGGUGCAGCUCUGUGGGACUUGAAAAUGGA
rnacentral:rRNA from 1 species